rnacentral:rRNA from 1 species
GACGAACGCUGGCGGCGUGCUUAACACAUGCAAGUCGAACGGAAAGGCCCCUUUGGGGGUACUCGAGUGGCGAACGGGUGAGUAACACGCGAGUAACCUGCCCUUGACUUCGGGAUAACUUCAGGAAACUGGGGCUAAUACCGGAUAGGAAUCCUUGCUGCAUGGUGGGGGUUGGAAAGCUUCGGCGGUUUUGGAUGGACUCGCGGCUUAUCAGCUUGUUGGUGGGGUAGUGGCUUACCAAGGCUUUGACGGGUAGCCGGCCUGAGAGGGCGACCGGCCACAUUGGGACUGAGAUAAGGCCCAGACUCCUACGGGAGGCAGCAGUGGGGAAUAUUGCACAAUGGGCGGAAGCCUGAUGCAGCAACGCCGCGUGCGGGAUGACGGCCUUCGGGUUGUAAACCGCUUUCAGCAGGGGCGAAGCUUGUGGUGACGGUACCUGCAGAAGAAGCACCGGCUAACUACGUG